rnacentral:sRNA from 1 species
UGUUUUGUUGGUUUAAUCCUCUUUUGGGAGAAAAUAGGUGUAAGUGUUGUAUGAACACUCCUAAUCCAUCUCUAACUCUUAUAAUAAGUCAAAUGCAUUGGAUUAUGAAACAUUUUGACCAUAGAAACACUAACAAAGUAAUUUACUGAUUCUAUGCAAUUUUUUGUUGGUUUUUUCUUCUUUUGAGAGAAACUUGGUAUAAGUGUUGUCUAAACACUCCUAAUCCAUCUCUAACUCUUAUAAUUAGUCUAAGGCUUUGGAUUGUGACAUAUUUUGACCAUAGAAACACUAACAAAGCUAGUUACUGCUUGUAAGCAAUUUUUUGUUGGUUUUAGUCUCUUUUAGGAGAAAAUGGGAAUAAGUGUUGUCUAAACACUUCUAAUUCAUCUCUAACUCUUAUAAUUAAUCAAAGGCUUUGGAUUGUGACACAUUUUGACCUUUUUU